UAGGGAAUCUUCGGCAAUGGGGGCAACCCUGACCGAGCAACGCCGCGUGAGUGAAGAAGGUUUUCGGAUCGUAAAGCUCUGUUGUAGGUCAAGAACGGGUGUGAGAGUGGAAAGUUCACACUGUGACGGUAGCUUACCAGAAAGGGACGGCUAACUACGUGCCAGCAGCCGCGGUAAUACGUAGGUCCCGAGCGUUGUCCGGAUUUAUUGGGCGUAAAGCGAGCGCAGGCGGUUUGAUAAGUCUGAAGUUAAAGGCUGUGGCUCAACCAUAGUUCGCUUUGGAAACUGUCAAACUUGAGUGCAGAAGGGGAGAGUGGAAUUCCAUGUGUAGCGGUGAAAUGCGUAGAUAUAUGGAGGAACACCGGUGCGAAAGCGGCUCUCUGGUCUGUAACUGACGCUGAGGCUCGAAAGCGUGGGGAGCGAACAGGAUUAGAUACCCUGGUAGUCCAC
rnacentral:rRNA from 1 species